AGUGAACGCUGGCGGCGUGCCUAAUACAUGCAAGUCGAACGAGUGGCGCACGGGGGAGUAAUGCUUGGGAAUCUGGCUUAUGGAGGGGGAUAACGACGGGAAACUAUCGCUAAUACCGCGUACGAUAGGAGGAGCCGAAGUGGGAUUAGCUGGGUGGCGGGGUAAAGGCCCACCAAGGCGACGAUCAGUAGCGGGUCUGAGAGGGUGAUCUGCCACACUGGGACUGAGACACGGCCCAGACGCCGACGGGAGGCAGCAGUGGGGAAUUUUGGACAAUGGGCGCAAGCCUGAUCCAGCCAUGCCGCGUGUCUGAAGAAGGCCUUCGGGUUGUAAAGGACUUUUGUCAGGGAAGCGGUACCUGAAGAAUAAGCACCGGCUAACUACGUGCCAGCAGCCGCGGUAAUAC
rnacentral:rRNA from 1 species